CUGUAACAUUCAAAUAUAUGAUACGAAAAUUUACAGUUUUUAAAAGAUUUUUUACUAUUCACUAUCGUAAUUUCAUUAAGAGUUUAUUGUAAUCAAUUCAAUAAGAAAUAUUACAAUGUUACUAUCGUAAAUAGUAAAAGAAUAAAAAAUAAGAUUUAAUUAUGCUAUUUAUUCUUUUAUUCUUCCUUUUAAUUUACAGUGCUGCCUCUAUGUUUUUACAAUACAAGCUACAAAAAUUACGAUAGUUGGAUUGUAAAUUUUCUGAAAUGGUAUAGUAUAUGCCAUCUGAAGCGUUUACGUAUGAAAGACAAGUGUUGUCACAAACCAUGAUGUGAUGCUUGUAUGAGUGUAUAUAUAUAUAUAUAAAUACAAAUGAUGACAUCUACUUUGUCUGUAUUAUUUGUGGUUCAACUAUAUAUAUUUAUAAAUCAGUUCAUCUUUAUCCACAGUGUAGUGCAGAAAUAGAGGUUAUUAUUCAUGACGUUUUUCGGACAAUUGUAAAUAAGAAAUUUAAAAUAAAAACUGUACUUUCGUCAUUACAAACCUACAUAGAUUGUGGAAUAUAAUAAUUUGGUGGUGAUAAUCUUCAUUUGUCGACAAUGAAUAAUUUUACCCGGCUUUGCGAGAGGUAAAACAUUUCAAUAACCUCAAAUUAUGGACAUUCAACAUUUCUUUAUGAUACUGAAGUUAGCAGACGCCUAAUAAUUUUUGGAUUUUUUUAAAAAUGAUAAAUUAUAGAAAAAAAGUAUUCGAAAAAAUUGCACCUAUGGUUUUUUUAAUUUUCUACAUGUGCGUAUUUUGAAUACAAAUAAAUGAGUUAUUUAUUCAUAAAUUUUAUAUAUACCAAAAAAAUAUGUUUGAAAAAAUAUUAAAUAAAUGUUUUAUUAUUACUACUUCAA